UACGGCCGUAUUACGUUGAAACACUAGUUCUUGUACGAUCACUGAAGUUGAGCAAUGUCGGGUCUGGUUAAUACCUAGAUGAGUGACCGCUUGGGAAUACCGUGUGUUGAAAG